UGCUGAUUGACUGAAAGCCGUGGAAUGUCAGACCAACAAAAUAUUUAUUUGUACCGCUCUAGUUACGUUGGUAACCAGUUUAUAAUAGCAAUAAGGCACCUCGGGGGGUUGUAAUAUAUUGAUAUACCAAAAGGCAAAGGGCUGUGUUCUAGCACUCCGCGUUGCGUCGUGAUUAAGAACAGCCCUUAGCUGUUGUUUAUUGGCCAUAUACCACACAAUUGCUUAUUGCUUAAAUAUACCGUGUUGAUUUGUUAUUGUGCAUUCCUGCAUCCAGGAGCGCCUUCUUACGGUUUUCCUGCAUGCUCAAGUCAUUGUGCUACACUGGGAGAGGAGCGAGAACUCUCAUACAAUAAAACAACCUGAUCUCCGAAGUCCACGUUUUUAAUCUCAAUCACACACAGCGGAGCAGUACAGCACCGGUUACAUUGGUGACUUCUAGACCCGGAUUCAUCGAUGAUCAACGUCAGCUCGAUCACCGUGGAGCUGCUGCUCUAGAGACUGUUUACAUCAUGAGGCACGUCCGGAUUUUCAUUUGGCUCACUUGCAGCCAAAACAACAUUAUCCUCAGCUUUUUGGCUUUGCCACGACCACCCAAAGGACAUCCAGCCAUCUUGACACAACUUUAGGAAGCACUGGAGUCAACAUGGGCCAGCAUCCUUGUGGAACGCUUUAGACACCUCGUAGAGUCCACGCCUCGACGAAUUGAUGCUGUAUGAGAGCAAAAGGAAUGCAGCUCAAUAUUAGGAAGGUGUUCCUUAUGUUUUGUACACUCAGUGUAUAUUUGGCUUUGUGUUUUAGGUAAUUAUCCUCCUGAAAGUUGAGUUUGUCUCCCAGUGUCUGUUGGAAAGCAGACUGAACCAGGUUUUCCUCUAGAAUUACACCUGGAUUUGGCUCUUUUCUGUUUCUUUAAAUCCUAAAAUAACUCUCAAACCCAUAACAUGAUACAGCCACCAUCAUGCUUGAAAAUAUGAAGAGGUAUACUCAGUGAUGUGUUGGAUUUGCCCCAAACAUAGCACUUUGUAUUCAGGACAAAAGCUAAAUUUCUUUGCCACAUUUUUUUGCAGUAUUUAGUGCCUUGUUACAAACAGGAUGUGUGUUUUGGAAUAUUUUAAGUCUGUAUAGGCUUCCUUUUCACUCUGUCAAUUGUGUUAUUAGUCCCUCCUUUGCAUUGGAAAAUCUCCCUGGUCUUUGUGGUUGGAUGUGUGUUUAAAAUUCACUGAGGGACCUUACAGAUCAUUUUAUGGGGUACAGAGAUGGGAUAGUCAUUCAAGAGUUAAACACAAUAAUUGUACACAGAGUGAACCCAUGCAAUUUAUUAUGUUUCUUGUUAAGCUAAUAUUUAAUCCUGAAUUUAUGCUGAAUUUAUUUAUGCUUGCCAUAACAACAAUGUUGAAUAUUUGUUGACUCAAGACAUUUCAGCUUUUCAUUAAUU